GACGAACGCUGGCGGCGUGCUUAACACAUGCAAGUCGAACGGUAAGGCCCUUCGGGGUACACGAGUGGCGAACGGGUGAGUAACACGUGGGUGAUCUGCCCUGCACUUCGGGAUAAGCCUGGGAAACUGGGUCUAAUACCGGAUAGGACCACUGCCUGCAUGGGUGGUGGUGGAAAGCUUUUGCGGUGUGGGAUGGGCCCGCGGCCGAUCAGCUUGUUGGUGGGGUGAUGGACUACCAAGGCGACGACGGGUAGCCGGCCUGAGAGGGUGACCGGCCACACUGGGACUGAGAUACGGCCCAGACUCCUACGGGAGGCAGCAGUGGGGAAUAUUGCACAAUGGGCGCAAGCCUGAUGCAGCGACGCCGCGUGAGGGAUGACAGCCUUCGGGUUGUAAACCUCUUUCAGUACCGACGAAGCGCAAGUGACGGUAGGUGCAGAAGAAGGACCGGCCAACUACGUGCCAGCCGCCGCCGUAA
rnacentral:rRNA from 1 species